UGUAGGUCAGAGAGGUAGAGGUGGCAGUGGGCGUGCAGGAGAAGGUGUAGGUCGGGGGGUAGAGGUGGCAGUGGGCGUGCAGGAGAAGGUGUAGGUCGGGAGGUAGAGGUGGCAGUGGGCGUGCAGGAGAAGCUGUAGGUCGGAGAGGGUGCAGAGUGGAGAACAGAUGAGCUGGAGUCACACCAUGCCCUAUACCCAGCCAGAGGCCGAAGUGAGCCUGUCACGGUAAUGCCACUGCCUGCUUGAUUCCCUCCCAUGCCUAGCCUGGGUUCUUCAUGAUCCCUGAGGCCCUCUUUGAUGUCAUCCCGCUGCCUCAAAACCUGUGUGUGCUGGUGGCUCCCUCUGCUUUCCUUCCAGAUGACUCCUUCGCUUCAGCUCAAAUGUCACCUUUGGCUGUUAAAAUCCUUUCCGGAGGAAGUUGUAAACAAUGCCUACCCCUCCUCCCGA
rnacentral:lncRNA from 1 species